rnacentral:sRNA from 1 species
GUUAACUUGUACAAAAAUGUUGUUGGGGUAUUUUCGGCUAGGCGCCCUCGAAAUUUCAUUCGAAUUUUGUGGUUACAUUUUUUAUUCUCAGCCAAGCUUUUUGUUGUCGAAUGUUUAUUGGCCAAAUUAGCGUGUCAGGUGAAAUUUAAGCAGAUUUUAGUUGAGCAUCGCCGGCUGUUUAUGGGAAAAUGAUUAGAUCCGCUUACGGCCAGCUAUCGCCAUGGCUUAAGUGACGGAAAUGCCGGCGCAUCUGGCCAACUCCGUACCCUUCACCACUUUCAGAGACAUUCAUAUUCAUGUUGAUUUUUUAACCAUUUUUCAAGUGCAGCUUACGCGGGGAUUAAGCCAACUUUGACGACGGGCGGCAAUUACGUGGGAUUAGUUUGCAUCUUAAUUUAAUUGUUGCAAAUUAAAUGCAUAUGAAUAAAGAAAAAGUUGCAUCUGAUGCAGCUCAUUGAUAUUAGAGAAAAUGAUUUGCUAAAACUUGAUGACCUACAAGAUUAUGAAAUUAAUGUAAAGAAAUCUUUGUUUAAGCUAAGAGACCAUCGACCAAAGCAGAUUUUUUGCCAAAAAACUUAAACACUUCGUAUCGUAAAAUCCGUUUCGAUUUAUAGCUAUUAUGAUGAUAUUUAUAGCAAGCCACUAAAGUCACAAAUGCUUCGUUAAUGAUGACCAAAAAUAUAUGCGACGCGCUUAUUAACAAUUUGGCGCCAUUUAAAUCUUAACACGAUUUUUUAUAAUGCAAUAACUAAAUUCGAAAAAACGAAUCUGUCUUCUAUAUAGCG